AAUCCAUGAUGGAGGCAUGACUUUAAUAACUCUUUAUACCAAUCCUAUGCUUCAAAGGUUGAUUCCCUAUAUUCUUGUUAAAAUCAAUUUAUUUGGCUCAUUAAUUGU